AGGCAAUCUGCAUAAGCUGCCCAAUGUAGGUAAUAGAGUCUUUUUCUUUGUCAAUGAUGGUCUUCUUGAGAUCUAAGUUUGGAACUGUGAGACUUUUAAGGAAAGUUGUUAAACAAUGUUAGCUACCAUUUUGUUAGUUGAUACUUGAUAUUAACUUCAAGCAGUUGAUCAUGUUAUAUGAGUGGUUACAACUAUGUUUCUAGAAUUGCAGGUGGAGUUAUAAUUGU
rnacentral:misc_RNA from 1 species